rnacentral:rRNA from 1 species
GACGAACCGUGCGAACGUUAUUCGGAAUCAUUGGGCUUAAAGGGCGCGUAGGCGGCGAUAUAAGUUGGAAGUGAAAUCCCAUCGGCUCAACCGUGGAAUAGCUCCCAGUACUGUAUCGCUCGAGGGGGAUAGGGGUCUGCGGAACUACCGGUGGAGCGGUGAAAUGUGUUGAUAUCGGUGGGAACGCCAGUGGCGAAAGCGGCAGACUUGACCCUUCCUGACGCUGAGUGCGCGAAAGCUAGGGGAGCAAAAGGG